UCCGGCACUGAACUGCCCAGUCCUGCCGGCUGGCCGCAUUUUUGUCCUUGAUUGCAAAUAAUGGCGUUUCUGGUGCUUUUCCUUUCCCUGCUGGCUGCCCCGGGAUGUGUCCUGUCCCAAGUGCAGCUGGUCCAGUCCGGCCCAGGCGUGGUGAAGCCCGGAGAGACCCUCGCACUGACCUGCUCUAUCACCGGUGACUCGGUCACUAGCAGGUACUGGGAAUGGGUCCGACAGGCUCCCGGGAAAGGGCUGGAGUGGGUGGGACAGAUCGACUGGGCCAGCUCCAACUGGCGCAUAUACUACGGCCCGUCUUUCCAGAGCCGCGCAACCCUCAGUGCAGAUUCCUCCAAGAACCAGUUCUCGCUGCAGCUCCGCUCGCUGACAGCUGCAGACAGCGGCACCUAUUACUGCGCCAGGGACACAACUGAGAUCUUUGGAGUGAGGAGUCUCCCUAACUGGGCCCGGUCACAGAUUGUUCUGACCCAGUCAGGUCCAGAAAGGAAGAAGCCCGGAGAAUCCAAUCAGCUGAAAUGCGCCGUGAGCGGGUUCGCUGUCUCCGGCGAUUAUAUGGACUGGGUCAGACAGGAGCCGGGAAAGGGGCUGGAGUGGCUGGUCAGCUACUGGAAAUCAGGGCAGAGCGAGUAUUAUUCUCCCACCAUCCAGGGGCGAUUCACAGCCUCCAAGGACAGCUCCAACUUCUACCUGUAA